rnacentral:rRNA from 1 species
CAUUCACGGAGAGUUUGAUCCUGGCUCAGGACGAACGCUGGCGGCGUGCUUAACACAUGCAAGUCGAACGAUGAAGCCCUUCGGGGUGGAUUAGUGGCGAACGGGUGAGUAACACGUGGGCAAUCUGCCCUGCACUCUGGGACAAGCCCUGGAAACGGGGUCUAAUACCGGAUAUGACCAUCUUGGGCAU